ensembl:snRNA U6 U6 spliceosomal RNA
GUGCUUGCUUCAGCAGCACAUAUACUAAAAGUGGAACGAUACAGAGAAGAUUAGCAUGGCCCCUGCACAAGGAUGACACGCAAAUUCUUGAAGUGCUCCAUAUUUUA